UGAGUACGAGAUGCUACGGCAUCGAAGCAGUCUAUGUCAUACUUCCAAGAAAAGCUUGCAAUGUCAUAAACAAAUAAUGCCUGUACCAUAACCGACACAGGUGGGUAGGUAGAGUAUACUAAGGGGCGCGAGAUAACUCUCUCUAAGGAACUCGGCAAAAUGACUCCGUAACUUCGGGAGAAGGAGUGCCUUAUUUUUAUAAGGUUGCAAUAACAAGAUCCAAGCAACUGUUUACCAAAAACACAGGUCUCCGCUAAGUCGUAAGACGAUGUAUGGUGGCUGACGCCUGCCCAGUGCCAGAAGGUUAAAGAAGUUGGUUAGCAUUAGCGAAGCUGAUAACUGAAGCCCUGGUGAACGGCGGCCGUAACUAUAACGGUCCUAAGGUAGCGAAAUUCCUUGUCGGGUAAGUUCCGACCCGCACGAAAGGCGUAAUGAUUUGGAUACUGUCUCGGAGAGGGGCUCGGUGAAAUAGACUUGUCUGUGAAGAUGCGGACUACCUGCACCUGGACAGAAAGACCCUAUGAAGCUUUACUGUAACUUGAGAUUGAAAAUGGACUUUAUCUGCGCAGUAUAGGUGGGAGACGUUGAAAAUAUUCUUGCGGGAAUAUUGGAGUCAUCAGUGAUACCACUCUUAUAAUGCUAGAUUUCUAACUUUGUAUCAUCAUCUGGUCAAAGAACAGUUUCAGGCGGGCAGUUUGACUGGGGCGGUCGCCUCCCAAACGGUAACGGAGGCGCACAAAGGUUUCCUCUGAACGUGUAGAAAUCGUAUCUAGAGUGUAAAGGCAUAAGGAAGCUUGACUGUGAGACCUACAAGUCGAGCAGGGACGAAAGUCGGUCUUAGUGAUCUGACGGUGCUGAGUGGAAAGGCCGUCACUCAACGGAUAAAAGUUACUCUAGGAUAACAGGCUGAUCUCCCCCAAGAGUUCACAUCGACGGGGAGGUUUGGCACCUCGAUGUCGGCUCAUCGCAUCCUGGGGCGGUAGUACGUCCCAAGGGUUGGGCUGUUCGCCCAUGAAAGCGGUACGCGAGCUGGGUUCAGAACGUCGUGAGACAGUUCGGUCCAUAUCCGGUGUAGGCGUUAGAAUAUUGAGAGGAGCCUUCUUUAGUACGAGAGGACCGAGAAGGACAUACCUCUGGUGUACCAGUUAUCGUGCCAACGGUAAACGCUGGGUAGCCAUGUAUGGAGAGGAUAACCGCUGAAAGCAUCUAAGUGGGAAGCCCACCUCAAGAUAAG
rnacentral:rRNA from 1 species